rnacentral:rRNA from 1 species
GGAUUAGAUACCCUGGUAGUCCACGCCGUAAACGAUGGACACUAGUUGUUGGGCAUUAGCUCAGUGACUAAGCGAAAGUGAUAAGUGUCCCACCUGGGGAGUACGAUCGCAAGAUUGAAACUCAAAGGAAUUGACGGGGGCCCGCACAAGCGGUGGAGCAUGUGGUUUAAUUCGAUGAUACGCGAGGAACCUUACCAGGGCUUAAAUGUAGUCUGACAGCUUUAGAGAUAGAGUUUUCUUCGGACAGAUUACAAGGUGCUGCAUGGUUGUCGUCAGCUCGUGUCG